rnacentral:lncRNA from 1 species
CUCUUUUACUGAUCCUCCUCAGCAGAGACCCUUUACAGGUGUCGGGGUAGGGGACGGUCAGGUCUUUCCCUUCCCACGAGGCCAUAUCUCAGGCUAUCAUAUGGGGAGAAACCUUGGACAAUACCUGGUUUUCCUAGGCAGAGGACCCUGCGGCCUUCUGCAGUGUUUGUGUCCCUGGGUACUUGAGAUUAGGGAGUGGUGAUGACUCUUAACGAGCAUGCUGCCUUCAAGCAUCUGUUCAACAAAGCACAUCUUGCACCGCCCUUAAUCCAUUUAACCCUGAGUGGACACAGCACAUGUUUCAGAGAGCACAGGGUUGGGGGUAAGGUCACAGAUCAACAGGAUAAGAAUUUUUCUUAGUACAGAGCAAAAUGAAAAGUCUCCCAUGUCUACCUCUUUCUACACAGACACCGCAACCAUCCGAUUUCUCAAUCUUUUCCCCACCUUUCCCCCCUUUCUAUUCCACAAAACCGCCAUUGUCAUCAUGGCCCGUUCUCAAUGAGCUGUUAGGUACACCUCCCAGACGGGGUGGUGGCCGGGCAGAGGGGCUCCUCACUUCCCAGUAGGGGCGGCCAGGCAGAGGCGCCCCUCACCUCCCGGACGGGGCGGCUGGCCGGGCGGGGGGCUGACCCCCCCACCUCCCUCCCGGACGGGGCGGCUGGCCGGGCGGGGGGCUGACCCCCCCACCUCCCUCCCGGAUGGGGCGGCUGGCCGGGCAGAGGGGCUCCUCACUUCCCAGUAGGGGCGGCUGGGCAGAGGCGCCCCUCAUCUCCCGGACGGGGCGGCUGGCCGGGCGGGGGGCUGACCCCCCCACCUCCCUAAGGGAUGCAUUUUAAAAACAGGAUGACCAUCUAAGAGUGUCACAGAUACGUUGAAGUCGAAAUCUGACAUUCUGACUUGCCUCUCCCAAGAUAUUUGUUUAAAACAAGUGUGUCUGCUUAUUUCCCUGAUUGGAUAUAGGCAGUGUGUGUUUUCUCUCAUAAUUUGCAGCUACCUCAUUUUUUAGUUUCCUUGUGUUUUUAUUUUGUUUUCCCCAGCCAGAAUGUAAGGUGGUGGUUCACGCCUGUAAUCCCAGCACUUUAGGAGGCUGAGGCGGGUGGAUCACCUGAGGUCUGGAGUUCGAGACCAACCUGGCCAACAUGGUGAAGCCCCAUCUCUACUAAAAAUACAAAAAAUUAGCUGGGCAUGGUGGUGGGCGCCUGUAAUCCCAGCUACUAGGGAGGCUGGGGUGGGAGAAUUGCUUGAACCCAGGAGGUGGAGGUUGCAGUGAGCUGAGAUCACACCAUUGCACUCUAGCCUGGGUGAAAGAGCAAGAUUCCAUCUCAAAAGAUAUAUAUAUAUAAUUUAUAUAUUUAUUUAUAUAUGAAACUCUGGCUGUUCCUUAUUAUUGCAUCAUUGCUGUCACUGGGUGAAAGAUAAGACUACCCAUAGGCUAGAAAAAUACAAAAGAAACCUACCCUCUACCAUGCUACCUCAAUUACUAACACAAAAUCCACUCGGCCUGGCAAUAAAAGUUAAUGUUGCUAUGAUUACCCCACUUAUCCACAUUUCUAUUCUACUACUUCCCCUACAGACACCUUCUAACAUUGGCUUUCAUAUGGUUGGCUUCGGACCAAAUCUUUUGGCAUUCUCCCUCAUGGCCUGACAAAUUUUCCAUUUAAUCCCUUCAUUCUCUGCCCUUCAUUAUGUUUAUUCAAAAUUUAGACAUGCCUUUUACAUAUCAUGCCAUCAUUCCCUAUGCUCUAUAUAUCACUUUAACCUCUAUUUCCUUUACAUUUCUACCAUAUUCCCUAUCUUUGCUGAUCAUUUUUUAAACUGGCUGGAUUUCCCCACAGAAAUGAUGUUAACAGUCUUUUUGAAUAAAUAUAGAAAUUGACUCUCCUAGUCUUAAAGCUUGAAACUUAUAUUCAUUUUAUCUGAGUUCGUUUCUCAUGAAACCAUUCAGGCCUCCCAGAUAGUUCAAGGAACUGAAACUUACCAGAUCACUGCAUCUAGACAAUGCGAUGGUGGACCCCUCAUCCAUCAUGAUUGCCUAACCGACCACCUGAUUCCUGUUGGCCAACUCCUCUUCCUUACCCUUCCCUAAUUCCUGUUUUAUAUUCCUUGCCUGUUAUAUAAGCCACCAAUUUUAGUCGGUUGUGGGGAGACAGAUUUGAUAUUUAUUUUCCUCUCCCACCUGAUGUUACCCAAAAAAGCCUUUCUUCUCUCGCAAUACUCAUUGUCUCAGUGAUUGUCUUUCUGUGUGGCAAGCAACGGGACCUAGACUGAACCCUUGGCAUUUCAGUAACAUCUUGACAUGUAACUUCACACAACCUAGAAUUCUAACAAUACCUUGUGUUUAAAUCCUGUAUUACAUACAGAUAUUUCAUAUAUUUGUUACAAAAAAUCAUCACUACUAGAAGAUAUUUUCUUGUUUCUCACAAAAUUCCAUCCAUUUUAGCAUAUAUUAGGGCUGUGAGUUACCAAGUAUGUCACAACAGCAUUCCAUAGAGAAUUUUAUCAACACUCUGCAGGGAUUGUACUCCAAAUCUAUCAACCCAGACUCUCAGAGGGAUAGGCCUUCAUACAUGCAUUAGGUACGCAUACUCCAGCAAAUAUUUGGAUUUAAGAAACGCUUGGCUAGGAGCAGUCGCUCACGCCUGUAAUCCUAGCACUUUGGAGUCCGAGGCAGGUAAUGCAUCAGGUGGAUCACUUGGGCUCAGGAGUUCAAGACCAGCCUGGGCAACAUGGUGAAACCUCAUUUCUACAAAAAAUACAAAAAUUAGCUGGGCAUGGUGGCGAGUGCCUGUAGUCCCAGCUACUGAAGUGGGAGAAUCCCUUGAGUCUGGGAGGCGGAGGUUGCAGUGAGCCAAGAUCAUACUACUGCACUCUAGCCUGGGCAACGGUGUGAGACUCUGUCUCAAUUUUUAAAAAAUGACUUCCUCUUCUAGAGGAAUUAUCAAAAAAAACAGUAUAAGCCACUUAAGAAUAAAUGUAACCAUAAGAUCUAGGACAUAAAAAAGUGAAUCACAAAUCUUGGGGUGGGAACAGAAGAACUUGAGUAAUUGGAGUAUCAGAAUGUUAUAUAUAGAUAGAAAAUAUAGAAAUAGAAUUGAAUAUUUUAUACAUGUCAAUUCCAUCCUAAUUAAGGCAAACAUUUAAUGUGACUCCAUUUACUAAGCCACUGGUACAACCUUCUGAUGUGAUACUGCCAUUGAAAAAUUUUAUAUGUAGUCCAGCUACUUGGGAGGCUGAGGCAGGAGGAUCCCUUAAACCCAGGAGUUCAAGGUUAGAGUGAGCUGAUGGCACCAUUGUACUCCAGCCUGGGAGACAGGGCAAGACUGACUCUCUCUGUAUAGAAAGAUAGAUAGAUAGAUAGAUAGAUAGAUAGAUAGAUAGAUAGAUAGAUAGAUACAUACAUACAUACAUAGACAGAUGUAUAUAGAGACAGAAAUAUAGAUAUAUAUACUAUAUAUACAUACAUGUAUGUAUGUUUGUGAUGAGAAUUUAAGUGAUGAAAUCAAAUAUUUACCCAAAGUAUUGCAAUUGUGAAAACUGUGAGGAUGAAACGAAAAAAAAAAUGCUCCUAAAUAAAAAUCAGAAGUGUGGGUAACAGAGAUUAUUUUCUUGUGUUGGAAUAAAUCUGAAAGAAAAUAUUUAUGAAAACGACAUGGUAAAGUUGGGAACUAGAGAGGAAAAAAGCUCGACUUUAGUAGCAAACUCGUAAUUUCCUCGUCCAGAAAUUUGUAGACAAUGAUAUGAAUAUAGGAAGGGAAAUGUUUUUCAUUGUUAUUUUUAAGACGGACUUGGACUUGAAGAACUGAACUGCAUGUAGAUCCACUAGGUAAAUGUAGUUUAAUCACAACUGUAACC